GACGAACGCUGGCGGCGUGCUUAACACAUGCAAGUCGAACGGAAAGGCCUGCUUUCCCUUGUGGAUUGCGGGUACUCGAGUGGCGAACGGGUGAGUAACACGUGAGUGAUCUGCCCCCAACUUGGGUAUAAGCCUGGGAAACUGGGUCUAAUUCCCGAUAGGACUGCAGGGUGGUGCCUGUGGUGGAAAACGAUUUUCUAGUGGUUGGGGAUGAGCUCGCGGCCUAUCAGCUUGUUGGUGGGGUAAUGGCCUACCAAGGCGGGGACGGGUAGCCGGCCUGAGAGGGUGGACGGCCACAUUGGGACUGAGAUACGGCCCAGACGCCUACGGGAGGCAGCAGUGGGGAAUAUUGCACAAUGGGCGGAAGCCUGAUGCAGCGACGCCGCGUGGGGGAUGACGGCCUUCGGGUUGUAAACUCCUUUCGACCGCGAGGAAGCCACCUGGUUGGAAGGGUGGUGACGGUAGUGGUAGAAGAAGCACCGGCUAACUACGUG
rnacentral:rRNA from 1 species